rnacentral:rRNA from 1 species
UACGAAGGGGGCUAGCGUUGCUCGGAAUCACUGGGCGUAAGCGCACGUAGGCGGAUUGCUAAGUCAGGGUGAAAUCCUGGAGCUCAACUCCAGAACUGCCUUGAUACUGGCGAUCUCGAGUCCGGGAGAGGUGAGUGGAACUGCGAGUGUAGAGGUGAAAUUCGUAGAUAUUCGCAAGAACACCAGUGGCGAAGGCGGCUCACUGGCCCGGUACUGACGCUGAGGUGCGAAAGCGUGGGGAGCAA